CCCCUAGAUGUUCUGGGCCGCACGCGCGCUACACUGAACAGUUCAACAAGUCUUAACCUUGGCCGAUAGGUCUGGGCAAUCUUUGAACAUCGAUCGUGAUGGGGAUAGAUUAUUGCAAUUAUUAAUCUUCAACGAGGAAUGCCUAGUAAGCGCAAGUCAUCAGCUUGCGUUGAUUACGUCCCUGCCCUUUGUACACACCGCCCGUCGCUCCUACCGAUUGAAUGGUCCGGUGAAGCGCUCGGACCGCGGCCUCUUGACGGUUUUCCGUCGAUUGGCUGUGGGAAGUUCGUUAAACCUUAUCAUUUAGAGGAAGGAGAANUCGUANCA
rnacentral:rRNA from 1 species